UACGUAGGGUGCAAGCGUUAAUCGGAAUUACUGGGCGUAAAGCGUGCGCAGGCGGCUUUGCAAGACAGAUGUGAAAUCCCCGAGCUCAACCUGGGAACUGCAUUUGUGACUGCAAGGCUAGAGUACGGCAGAGGGGGAUGGAAUUCCGCGUGUAGCAGUGAAAUGCGUAGAUAUGCGGAGGAACACCGAUGGCGAAGGCAAUCCCCUGGGCCUGUACUGACGCUCAUGCACGAAAGCGUGGGGAGCAAACAGG
rnacentral:rRNA from 1 species